UAGAAGGUGUGGUAAACAUACAGGAUGG
rnacentral:piRNA from 1 species